rnacentral:rRNA from 1 species
UACGUAGGGUGCAAGCGUUAAUCGGAAUUACUGGGCGUAAAGCGUGCGCAGGCGGUUGUGUAAGACUGAUGUGAAAUCCCCGGGCUCAACCUGGGAACUGCAUUUGUGACUGCACAGCUGGAGUGCGGCAGAGGGGGAUGGAAUUCCGCGUGUAGCAGUGAAAUGCGGAGAUAUGCGGAGGAACACCGAUGGCGAAGGAAAUCACCUGGGCCUGCACUGACGCUCGUGCACGAAAGCGUGGGGAGCAAACAGG